rnacentral:rRNA from 1 species
CGUUCUAUCAGCUAGUUGGUAGGGUAAUGGCCUACCAAGGCUACGACGGAUAGCUGGUCUGAGAGGACGAUCAGCCACACUGGGACUGAGACACGGCCCAGACUCCUACGGGAGGCUGCAGCAGGGAAUAUUGCGCAAUGAGCGAAAGCUUGACGCAGCGACACCGCGUGUGGGAUGACGGAUCUAGGUUUGUAAACCACUUUCAGGAGGGAAGAAAAUGACGGUACCU